AAAAGGAUAGAAAAACUUAGAAGAAAUUAGUUUUUCGGCAUGAAAAAGGAUGGAAUCCGAUCGAAAAUAGCCGUUAGGAAGUAGCAUACAAGAGGUAACAACUAGAAAUUGCCAGAGGAGGGAGAGAAACAGAAGGAAUUCAGGUAGGGAGGAGAGAGAAGGAGUCAGAGAGAGAAACAUUUUUUUUUGUUUUCCGUCAAAAGAAGGAAAAACUCCUGCCAUUUUAUUUUCUUUGGUUGUGAAAACCGAUACCGUCAAAAAAAGAAAAAUCUCCUGCCAUUUUAUUUUUUGUUGGCUGUGAAAACCGUUUUCUGCAGAUGAACAAUAAACUGAUAGCAUCCAAGCUUUCUGAUCCUUUAUUUCUAUGUAGUUGGAAAUAAAAGUGACGUAAUUGUAGUUAGUCUUGAAGAAUAAUAUAAUUAGGUUUUACAAAUACUAUAUACCAAAAGAGCUCUUUAGUCGUACAUGUUUGAUGUCCAUGUCUCAUUGUUAUCAAAUCCUUUAAAAUCUUAAUUAUACGAGCCCACGUUGGGCGGUGAGAUUGACAUCCUCUUCAGAGUUAAUGAGAAAAGCUUUGAACAUUACUAAAUCUGAGGAGGACGUUUGACGAAACUUGCUGGAAACAUUAAAAAUUUGAUUACACUCUGUGUACACUAGGUAAUAACCAGCCGUUAGGAAGACCGUCAACAUAAAGGUGGGUAGACAAUAUUUCACUUGAAGUCCGAAGCUUAUAAAUUUGUUACACUUGGUUUACACCAAAAACUUAACUAGACGUUACUAACUCCGUUUGCAGUGGACAAUACUUCAUCUCCGAUUUGAUACACUGCCAUACAUUGACAAUCUAAACCUAAGGGACGCCUGCCGGGACACACAGAGAAUAGAGAAGCUCUGUUUAAUGGCUGUGGGGUUUCCGAUUUCGUUCUAUGUUCUCCUUCUAUCUCAUUCUGUCUCUCGAUUUCGUUAAUCUUAGUUUCCUUUUCCGUUAUGCAAUCGUAUUUUUGAUUUUUUUACUGCUCAUUUUUAUACUAAUAUGAGAAAAAACUAUUGUUACUUGGGUUUCUAUUCAAGUGUGUUACCCUGAUGUAUGCUUAUCCUUCUGAUAAAUUGCGAAGUUUCUUAACAUGUACGAAGAAGGCGCAUAGAUAUAGCAUCUUUGGCUUCUACAUGUACGAUUUUUCUAACUGAAAUCUCUUUGUUUUUAUUUUGUGGGGUAGGGGUUACUUCCUUGAAAUCUUAGAUAUGGGUUUGUUUGAUUUUUAUAAUAAUCAUGAUUUAUGAUUUAUGGCUUGGCUCCUGAAGUGUUAGUGUUUUUACCCUAAUGUCUUUGAUGUUCAAUUGAUUUUAGUUCUAAGAAUUAAGUGAUGUGUUUUUUGAGCUAAUUAAGAUAUGACAAUGGUGAUUUGAUUGUUUGUUUAAGGAUUGAACUCUAAUGGUGUAUGACAACUACAGGUUCUGAGAAGACUGAUCAAGGACUAAAAAAGUCACUCCUGCAUGAUAUAACUCCGUCUUCCAUGAUAUAACUCCAUCUUUGUUUACUCUUAGGUUUGGAAAGUCUACCUCUGAACUGGGUUUUGUUUUUGUAAUCCAGACAAAAUAGGAUUAGAUAUUCUUGACAAUGUUUUGGUUUUUGCUGAUUCAGUUCGUCUAGUGUAUAAAACUUCACAAUUUUUGCACAGCUUGGACGAUAAACUCUCCGUGCUGAAGGGUUUUCCACUGUUAAGUGGAAUGAAAAGCUAUGCUGGAGUGAGCUUUUCAACAUAGCAUCACAGUACAAUUAUGCAAUCAUUCCAAUAAUUGACAUACUCCUAACACUAUUUAAUUCGCAGGAAUUUGAUAAUUUUACAUUAUUGAUGUAGUAAAUACGGUGGUCACCUCAAGAACACAUGGUUUGAUGAUAAGAAGCACAAUGAAGACGAUAGAGUUCCCUAAAUGAGACCACAGCAACAACUGCAUAGUAGUAUUGUGAUUGAGUGUUUUGCUUCCAAUAGCAGUGGUGAUCAUGUUCUUAUAACGCUUUUGUUUAACUUUAUAGGAAGUAGCUAGAUAUAUCCGUGGGUAUUUCAGGAAAGACGAACAUAGUGAUUUCAAAUAUGAUAGGCCCAGUGGAACAAAUGUCUCUGGAAGAUUAUCCAGUUAAAGGUCUUUACUUCAUGGUGGUAAAUAGUCCUCAGGUAAAUAUUAUGCUUUUACAGUUGAUGUUGAAGGGGGCUGACAUCUAAUGCUGAUUUAGUUCAUAUGUUGGUUCGUUAGAUACCCUUGUAAGGGUAGUAGAAUCAGUGCUUUCCCAAGAGCUGGAAAAGAAAAAUAGGUACUGAAGUAUGUUUUGUUGGGUGCGUUUAUAGUUUGUUAUCAAUAGUUAGACAAGGUGCAAGUUUUGAGUGAAAAUAAUUAAUGUAAUACAGGGGUUUGGUGUAUAUUUGAAUUCUUACUUGUUGUUGAGCUAUAACAAGCCAUGUCUAUAUCUCUUGGUGCAUUAUCUAUCAGACGAGGUCAUUUUUAUAUCUAUUCAUUGAUUGCUACCUAUUCAUUUUUCCCCUUCCUUUCGUGUUGUUAUAGUUCCCGAGCCACCAUUCAUAAGGAAAAGUACUGUGAUGUCCUAUUCCUAUCUGAGGUGCAAGUGAUACUGCUUCUGGAUUAAUAAAACACGGUAAGGGUACAUUAGCAUAUGCUACAUUUUUAGGAGCAAGGAAUUUCAUUGAGAAGAUACACUACUUUGGCUAUAUAAUGCCUCAGAUGCUAGCCGCUGGCAUGCACAGUACCAUCUUGGUUUGUGGUCGUUAGCUUUUAUGUACCAGCACAGGUUUAUAUAUGGCUGGAGUCGGAGGUGGUGAACCUGUGGCUGAGGAAAAUGUAUUACUUGGCAUUAGGGGAAAUUUGACUACUGAUGCUCCCUUCAUGUAGUGUUAAUCUUUGGACUUUCAAUGUCAAUUUCAAAUAUUUAGCAACAUUGAGCCUUCGAUUUUGUGAUAUUCAUUUGCUUGAUAAAUGAUAUAUAUUUUGGCUUUCAAAUUAAAGUUCUCUGAUAUGGUUUUGCACCUCUAAAUUCCAGAAAUUUAUCCCAUGACUCUGAAUGUGCAUUGAUUUUAGUGGUAGAAGUCUGAGGAGUUAAUAAGUGUUUGGUUCAAAGCAUUUCAUUUGUGUAUUCUUUUAUCAAUGUUCUUAUCAUUUGUGUGUUUCGUUGUUUUUUAGGUCAGUUGUAUGGCUCAAAUUAUAUCAGUAGAAGACAGAUUUUUUGCACCUAGAGUUGCCAGGGCAAGUUGAAUCAAUGACCACAUCGUGUUCGAGGCCAGGAUUUAAGGGUGAGAAUCAAGGUACAAUGUCAGUAUAGAAACUCGAGUGUGGGAUGUGAGUGUGGGAUGUGACUGCCGAUGCAUUAGAGUUUCGAGUAUUACUUUGCUUCUUGGUUGCUCAUAUUGCUUGAAUAAUAAGUCCUUGCGCCUCCUGAUGAAAUGUUUGCGUACCAGGUUUGCCAGUUCAGAUCCAAGUAUGGUACGUUCUCAUGGGAAUGUGAAUUUUGGUUUUCAUAGAAUCAUUUUGGAUUACAAAAUUUGUUUAUAUACUCACUUGGUGUUUCUUGUUUUUCCGAGUCUCUUCGAAUUUUCGCUAAAGAAAAUCUCUGCGUUUUAAUGCCAACUUAUUUUAAUGUUGUUUGUGUAAGGGAAACAAAUAGUAUCUGCUGGUCUUUGAAAUAAGGUGACCAGUUGUGGGAGAAAGGAAGGUGUUAAACGAAUAAUACCUGCUACACCUUGAUCAGGCAAAGUUACCUCGAUGGGACAACUUAAAUAUGCAGGGUUAUGUCGCUGGGUCCCACCAGUCCAGAGUUAAAUUGGGUCGUAAAGUUACGAGUUUACCCCUAACCGCUUCUCAGUUAUAUCCCAAACCAGAUGAUAUUAGAUCUGCGACCACACAUCUUACUGUUAGUACAUCUCGAGAUGAAACAAACGGAUAUGAUCGGGUUUGGGAAAACUCGAAUCUAUAACAGUUUAAGGUUUGAGAAAAUCAUCUUCAUUUCCAUCUCAGCCAUCUCUCUCUCUAAAAGCUCUGCAGAAAUGGUGCUUCACUCAAAAAUUUGAGAUUUCGUGUGGUUUUGAUCGCAAACAGAUCCUGAAUUGUUUUUGCCGGUAGUAUGUAUGGUUUUUAUCCAUAUUUAGUGAAGAUUUCCAAACAAAGAAGGAACUGGUUGUAGGACGACGGUGGUUUUCUUACAAGAUUUCGUCAUUAUGUAUGCGAACAUCAUGAGGAAAUAUGUGAAGAACCCAGUUAGAAGCUUUAGGGUUGAAGAAUAUCAUACAAAUAAGUUUCAAAGUGUCUUUUUUCAACACCUGAGAAGGUGCAGAGUACAUCAAGGAUACAUAUUGAAAGAGGUGCAGCACCAGUCAAUAUUGACCCUUCCCUGAUCAUAACACCUAAGAAGAGGAUUAUAUAUGGUAAAUCACCUGAGCUACUAAGAAGAAGUGAUAGGCUGGCAAAGAAGUCAAUUGCUGCAGUUAGUGGUAGUUUGGGUAGUGUGAAUGGUAAGAAGAUAUUUGUUAAUGUGGGUGAUGAUGAGGUUGUGGAUGAAUAAAUAUCAAUGGAAUCAAGACAGGCUGAGUUGGAGUAUGAAAACAUACAACUCACAAAUGCAGAAGAAGAUAUGUGUCAUCCCAUACAUGACUUUAGAAGUCCAGUUGCUGAUGAUGCAGAAAUGGGUAUUGAAGUGUAUGCUGAAUUUUUGAACAACUACUUUGGGGAUUAGACUCUUUUGAUUUCUUACAUCCACAACUGUAUAAGAAAAAGGGAAAUGCAGAUGAAGCCCAGAAUGACAACAAUUGUAGUGUUGUUGAGGAGUGUCACCCAAAAGGAAAAGAAGUAGUUGUUGUACCAUCUGAUACUGACAGUCGUGAUAGUGCUAGUAGAUAUGAUUCUGAAGAUGAAGAAGGCACUUUAUCAAUCCAAUGAGUUGCAGAAGAUGAUGGUCAAAAAAUAGUUUGGGUACUCGGUAUGAGCAAGUUUGGGGGCCACAUGUAGAAGCUGCUGAAAGAACAAGUGCCUUUGAUGAUGACACUGGAGAUGCUGAGGAAUUUUUGGAUAUUGAUACAAUGUUUGUGGGGAUGGAGUUUAUGGAUAAGAAAGACUUUAAGAAGCACUUAAGGGCAUAUGCAGUGACGAACAAGUUUCAGUACAAGUUGAAUCCCAAUGACAAAGAAAGGAUCAAGGUUAAUUGCAUGUAUAACAAGUCUCAAAGCUGUGAGUUUUUUGUUUAUGCAAGUGUCAGAACUGGUGAACCUACUUUCAUACUCAGAAAGAUGAACUUGGAGCAUAUAUGUGUCACUGAAGGUGUAACCAGAAACAGAACAUGAAAUGCAGAAUUUGUGGCACAGUUUUUGUAUGAUAAGCUGAAAAAUGGAGACCCAAUUCCUAGUCAUUUCAAUUUACAAGACCAAUUCCACACUACUCACAAUACUAGUGUUCCUUAUCAUGUGGCAUGGAGAGUUAUAACUAAGACACUAGAAAGAGUAAAUGGAAAUUAUGAUGAGUCUUACAGACUUGUUCCAGCCUUUUGUGAUAUGGUGGAGAAAACCAACCCUGGUUCUUUGACAAAGUACACAUUUGGAAGUGUUGAUGGAUGCUUUGAGUCAAUGAAAAUUUCCUAUGCAGCACCACUCAAAGGUUUUCAUGAUGGUUGCAGAAAUGUGAUAGGUUUUGAUGCUUGUCAUUUGACUGGAAAGCAUGGUGGGUGUUUGAUGGCUGCAACUGCUUUGGAUACAGAGAAUAGGGUUGUCCCAUUGGCUAUAAUGGUUACUAGGAGUGAAAUUGACAUAUGUAUGCAAAUUUCAAAAAAUAUUAUAAAGGUACAAAGCUACAUCAACUGGUAUGCAAUGCUACACUAUGUUAUAAGGAAAUACAUUAGAAGUUAUGACUAGGUACAUAUGGAUGAGCUUGUAAAGUUGUCUCCAACAGCAGCAGAAUACAUGAUGAGGGAAAAACCAAAGCAAUGGUCUAGGGCAUUUUAUGACCAAUCUACUUCUUCUGAGCACACCAACAUCAACUUAUGUGAGUCCUUCAAGAACAUGGCUGGCCCAAUGAGAUACAAGCCCAUUUGUACCCUUGGAAUGAUGUAUGGUCAACUCAUUAUGGGUAUAUUUUACAAGAGAAGAGCUGAGGCUGAUAAGUUGGAGCUUGGAACCUUGGUGCCAGAAGUUAUGAAGUUGAUAAAGAAGAUGGAGAAAUGCACAACUCACCUGAGACCAAAUGGAGCAGUUUAUGGCAAGUUAUAUGAGUUAUUGUGCCUAGUGCUAUCUGGUUGAUGCUUUGAGAGCAACUUAUGCUCCUGAGAUGGGUUUAUUACUAGGCAGAGAAGACUGGGAUGAGGUAAGCACCAACUUUACCAUUAUUUACUUUUUUUUUGUCCUUUCCU